UACGGGGGGAGCAAGCGUUGUUCGGAUUUACUGGGCGUAAAGAGCUCGUAGGCGGUGUGUCACGUCGGCCGUGAAAACCUGCAGCUUAACUGUGGGCGUGCGGUCGAUACGGGCAUCACUGGAGUUCGGCAGGGGAGACUGGAAUUCCUGGUGUAGCGGUGAAAUGCGCAGAUAUCAGGAGGAACACCGGUGGCGAAGGCGGCAUCCUGGACCGGCAUUGACGCUGAGGCGCGAAAGCUAGGGGAGCAAACGGG
rnacentral:rRNA from 1 species